AGACUCUAAAGGAAGAGAAAACAGAAGAACUUUAAAAAAUCUUAAAGCUUGACAAGUCGUUGGAUGGGGCUGUUGACGUCAUUGGUUCCAUGGAACUCUCAGGCUAAGAUGCUUGCAAAAAACAAGAUCAAUUUAAAUGAGAUUUCAUAUAACUCCGCAAUGGGGCUCAUCAAACAGGUUAUAGACAUGGGAGUUCUUCUAACUGAGGUUUAUCUGGAUACCGUGGUAGAUCCUUAGAAGUACUGAAUAAAACUGUCUGAGAGGUUUGGUUCGUUAAAGUUUGUCUUCUCAAAGAAAGCUGAUAGUAUGUACGUAUCCUGUUGUUAGUGUAGCAAGUAUUGUGGCUAAGCUUAAUAUGUUAUGGAUUAUCACUAUUCUGUGUUUGGAUUCCCAUCAUUGGUACGUUUCAGUUGGGGAACUUGCACAACG